rnacentral:sRNA from 1 species
AGUAAAAGUGUGAUUAAGGAAGAAACAUGGAGAUUUUAAACAGAACUAGAUUUUAACCCGCGGUAUACCGCGGGAUGAUUUAUUUUUUUAAAGUAAUAUCUAUUAAAACUUGCAAAUUUUAUUUUUAUAAAAUAUUUAUAUUUUACAGUUUAUAAUUGUUAUUAAGUAACGCUAUACCACGAAUCCAUGAGACAAUUGUUAAAAAACUGAAGUUUAACCCCUUGUAAAACAGCAUAUUAAUAAUAUUUUAAAAUUUUAUAAAUAUUGAUUCAAAUACAUCCACCAUAUAACCCAAUUCCAAAAUAAAACCCGUUCUGUAAUUCCUUUACCCGUCCCGUAAUAUUUUUUUAAAGU